GGGGGUGAACCGCUUCGACAAAAAAGUAACGCAGAGCAACGCAAGAGGGAGCUGCAGUAACUCCUUAAUCUGCUGCAAACGAUAACUGCAAACAGCGUUGUCGCAAAGGCAAAGUCAAUUCUUUCUCCAUUCGGAGCGAAUGACCUUGCUUUCGCCACAGCUCGAGGUUAACUCGCUCUGGCGACGUCAACUCUUGUGAAGUCUGAUAGCAAGAUGUUGGUGUAAUAUUCUCGGACUCUGAAGAAUUGCGUCCCGCCUUUCUUCGAAACUGUAGGGACUCGAUACUGUAAGGUUUUGUUUGCUUCCUACUUACAACAUCUAGACUUCUGAAACAAACUAACUCUUGUAGAAGUUGUUAGGCGGCUUUUUUGGACGGGAGUUCGUUACUCCCCACCUCCACAA
rnacentral:tmRNA from 1 species